UACGUAGGGUCCGAGCGUUGUCCGGAAUUACUGGGCGUAAAGAGCUCGUAGGUGGUUUGUCGCGUUGUUCGUGAAAACUCACAGCUCAACUGUGGGCGUGCGGGCGAUACGGGCAGACUUGAGUACUGCAGGGGAGACUGGAAUUCCUGGUGUAGCGGUGGAAUGCGCAGAUAUCAGGGAGGAACACCGGUGGCGAAGGCGGAUCUCUGGGCCUGUUCUGACGGCUGAGGCGCGAAAG
rnacentral:rRNA from 1 species